rnacentral:rRNA from 1 species
AUUGAACGCUGGCGGCAUGCCUUACACAUGCAAGUCGAACGGUAACAGGUCUUCGGAUGCUGAUGAGUGGCGAACGGGUGAGUAAUACAUCGGAACGUGCCUAGUAGUGGGGGAUAACUACUCGAAAGAGUGGCUAAUACCGCAUGAGAUCUACGGAUGAAAGCAGGGGAUCGCAAGACCUUGCGCUACUAGAGCGGCCGAUGGCAGAUUAGGUAGUUGGUGGGAUAAAAGCUUACCAAGCCGACGAUCUGUAGCUGGUCUGAGAGGACGAUCAGCCACACUGGGACUGAGACACGGCCCAGACUCCUACGGGAGGCAGCAGUGGGGAAUUUUGGACAAUGGGCGAAAGCCUGAUCCAGCAAUGCCGCGUGCAGGAUGAAGGCCUUCGGGUUGUAAACUGCUUUUGUACGGAACGAAAAGCCCCGGGUUAAUACCCUGGGGUCAUGACGGUACCGUAAGAAUAAGCACCGGCUAACAACGUGCCAGCCGCCGCCGUAA